rnacentral:rRNA from 1 species
CGCGUAGGCGGACAGUUUAGUCGGGGGUGAAAGCCCGGGGCUCAACCUUGGAACUGCCUUCGAUACUGACUGUCUUGAGUUCGGGAGAGGUGUGUGGAACGCCGAGUGUAGAGGUGAAAUUCGUAGAUAUUCGGCAGAACACCAGUGGCGAAGGCGACACACUGGCCCGAUACUGACGCUGAUGCGCGAAAGCGUGGGGAGCAAACAGGAUUAGAUACCCUGGUAGUCCACGCUGUAAACGAUGAGUGCUAGUUGUCGGCAUGCAUGCAUGUCGGUGACGCAGCUAACGCAUUAAGCACUCCGCCUGGGGAGUACGGUCGCAAGAUUAAAA